GACGAACGCUGGCGGCGUGCUUAACACAUGCAAGUCGAACGGAAAGGCCCUGCUUUUGCGGGGUGCUCGAGUGGCGAACGGGUGAGUAACACGUGAGUAACCUGCCCUUGACUUUGGGAUAACUUCAGGAAACUGGGGCUAAUACCGGAUAGGAGCUCCUGCUGCAUGGUGGGGGUUGGAAAGUUUCGGCGGUUGGGGAUGGACUCGCGGCUUAUCAGCUUGUUGGUGGGGUAGUGGCUUACCAAGGCUUUGACGGGUAGCCGGCCUGAGAGGGUGACCGGCCACAUUGGGACUGAGAUACGGCCCAGACUCCUACGGGAGGCAGCAGUGGGGAAUAUUGCACAAUGGGCGGAAGCCUGAUGCAGCAACGCCGCGUGCGGGAUGACGGCCUUCGGGUUGUAAACCGCUUUCGCCUGUGACGAAGCGUGAGUGACGGUAAUGGGUAAAGAAGCACCGGCUAACUACGUGCCAGCAGCCGCGGUGAUACGUAGGGUGCGAGCGUUGUCCGGAUUUAUUGGGCGUAAAGGGCUCGUAGGUGGUUGAUCGCGUCGGAAGUGUAAUCUUGGGGCUUAACCCUGAGCGUGCUUUCGAUACGGGUUGACUUGAGGAAGGUAGGGGAGAAUGGGAUUCCUGGUGGAGCGGUGGAAUGCGCAGAUAUCAGGAGGAACACCAGUGGCGAAGGCGGUUCUCUGGGCCUUUCCUGACGCUGAGGAGCGAAAGCGUGGGGAGCGAACAGGCUUAGAUACCCUGGUAGUCCACGCUGUAAACGGUGGGUACUAGGUGUGGGGUCCAUUCCACGGGUUCCGUGCCGUAGCUAACGCUUUAAGUACCCCGCCUGGGGAGUACGGCCGCAAGGCUAAAACUCAAAGGAAUUGACGGGGCCCCGCACAAGCGGCGGAGCAUGCGGAUUAAUUCGAUGCAACGCGUAGAACCUUACCUGGGUUUGACAUGGAUCGGGAGUGCUCAGAGAUGGGUGUGCCUCUUUUGGGGUCGGUUCACAGGUGGUGCAUGGCUGUCGUCAGCUCGUGUCGUGAGAUGUUGGGUUAAGUCCCGCAACGAGCGCAACCCUUGUUCACUGUUGCCAGCACGUUAUGGUGGGGACUCAGUGGAGACCGCCGGGGUCAACUCGGAGGAAGGUGGGGAUGACGUCAAGUCAUCAUGCCCCUUAUGUCCAGGGCUUCACGCAUGCUACAAUGGCUGGUACAGAGAGUGGCGAGCCUGUGAGGGUGAGCGAAUCUCGGAAAGCCGGUCUCAGUUCGGAUUGGGGUCUGCAACUCGACCUCAUGAAGUCGGAGUCGCUAGUAAUCGCAGAUCAGCAACGCUGCGGUGAAUACGUUCCCGGGGCU
rnacentral:rRNA from 1 species